UUGUUAUUUGAAGAAAUUCUCUGGGAAAGAGUUCUUUUCUAAAGCAAAUAUCACCUCACAGUUUAUCAUUCUGUUAUUCUAGGUUUCAUGGGCUGACUCAUUUUACUUAGAGCAAUCUAAUUACACUGACCUUUGUUGAGAGUUGGGAUUGAUGAGGUCCCAGAUCGAUCCCCAUCAAGUCCAGUUUCCUUUCACUGGUCUCUGGACAAGGACUGCCACAGCCCCGGCUGCCUGAUGCAAACGCACACCUUUGGUCUUCAGGGGCAAUGGUUUUACCAUCUUCAUAAAAAUACUUGGAGGACAGCUGCAUCCACAGACAUCAAAUACGUGAUGACUUUUUUGACCAUUCUUCUCAGUCUUUUCUUUCCCAAAUAAGCACUUUCAGAUACGGUUCAAGAUGGGACGGUCUGGUUGCAGGAAAACAAGCUCAGGCUCCCACUGAGUCUACAUUAUGGUGAGUUAUGUAAUUAUUAUGUCUUAAAAUGUAAUAAAAAUAAAGUGCACAAUAAAUGUAAUGUGCUGGAAUCAUCCCGAAACCUCCCUGCCCCCAGUCUGUGGAAAAAUUGUCUUCUAUGAAACUGGUCCCUGGUGCCAAAAAGAUUGGGGACCGCUGAUUUAGAGUACUGUUAUAUCUCCUUUUACCCUCC
rnacentral:lncRNA from 1 species